GUCUGCUGCUCGCAUCCAUACGGCCAACUUACGCUUGUAGGACUUCUCGUGGGUGCCUACCUACCACCAUCAGACUCUCCCCUAGACUUGCAUCUUUUAGGAAGUGCCUUAAAACCCAUCUCUUUAGGAAAGCUUAUGGCCUCCCAGAGUAACCUCGACCUUACAUACCUGUCUCUUGCGCUCUCCUAAAGGGCAGCACUUUAC